UUUAGUUGAUGCUACCUGUGAGGGCUGAUGUGUGAGCUGAGAACACUGCCCUCUGUAGGUAGGUUGAGGGAGAGUUUCCUGGUAGAUGUGUGGUGGGACUGCUUGGUGUGUGCCGAUGUAAUGAGCUGUGUCCUGAUUUACCCUGACUGAUAUGCUCUGUAGGCUCAUGUUGAAGAGGCUGCAGGGACGCACAGCGGGGAGUACGUGUGGGAUCCAGACCACUUCUUGCAUGUGGUGUGGUCGGCCUGCUGGUGGUGGACACUCAAGUGUUUGGAAGAUUGUCUUUUUUCUUGCAGUGUAAGUUGCAGCGUUAGUGAUCACAGUGAGCUCACGUGGUGGUAUCUAGUGGAGUCUGUGAUAGAAUCUCCCUGCGGUACUCCAGCACCAAGUAUAUCAUUUUUAAAUAAAUAUGAUUGGUGAACUGAAUGCACGUCUCCUGCUCUCCUUGAAGCAACACAUUUGAA